AAGAGAGGCUCGACAGCAAUGAAGACUGCUAAUCUUCUCCCCCCUUGGUUAAACUCCAAGGCUCACUUA
rnacentral:tRNA from 1 species